ACAGUCCAAUCAUCGCAUCCCUGGCCUCAGCCUGCCUGCCCUUCGGGGGAGGCAUGACUUUACAGGCAGCAGAAUAUCUGGUAAAGCAUCGCGGCAGAGAAUGACCCAGCCGCACGCAUUUAAUUGAUGCUUCCUCUCUCCUCCACUCUGCGGGUCCCAGGGUUCAGCACUGGACCAAGAACAUAGACCCUAUGGACUGCCUUGAGCUCAUCUUAGAAGACAUUUCUAUGAAUGAUGGAUGUUGGCGAUGUUGGCCCUGCCUGGAACAGCACUUUAAAAGAUGGAGUAAAUAAAUAACCUGAAAGUCUUUCUUUAC